rnacentral:rRNA from 1 species
CCUACGGGACGCAGCAGUGGGGAAUAUUGCACAAUGGCGCAAGCCUGAUGCAGCAACGCCGCGUGCGGGAUGACGGCCUUCGGGUUGUAGACCGCUUUUAGUAAGGAAGAAGGGCAGUCUUUGGGCUGUUUGACGGUACUUGCAGAAAAAGGACCGGCUAACUACGAGCCAGCAGCCGCGGUAAUACGUAGGGUCCGAGCGUUGUCCGGAAUUAUUGGGCGUAAAGAGCUCGUAGGCGGUUUGUCGCGUCUGCUGUGAAAUCCCGAGGCUCAACCUCGGGUCUGCAGUGGGUACGGGCAGACUGGAGUGCGGUAGGGGAGAAUGGAAUUCCUGGUGUAGCGGUGGAAUGCGCAGAUAUCAGGAGGAACACCGAUGGCGAAGGCAGUUCUCUGGGCCGUAACUGACGCUGAGGAGCGAAAGCGUGGGGAGCGAACAGGAUUAGAUACCCGUGUAGUC